rnacentral:rRNA from 1 species
CGGUUUAGUGGACAGUGGCAGACGGGUGAGUAGCGCGUGGGAACCUACCCAGGGGUACGGAAUAACACAGAGAAAUUUGUGCUAAUACCGUAUACGUCCUCAGGGAGAAAGAUUUAUCGCCCCUGGAUGGGCCCGCGUUGGAUUAGCUUGUUGGUGGGGUAAUGGCCUACCAAGGCGACGAUCCAUAGCUGGUUUGAGAGGAUGAUCAGCCACACUGGGACUGAGACACGGCCCAG